CCUACGGGAGGCAGCAGUGGGGAAUAUUGCACAAUGGGCGAAAGCCUGAUGCAGCAACGCCGCGUGAAGGAAGACGGUUUUCGGAUUGUAAACUUCUGUUCUUAGUGAAGAAUAAUGACGGUAACUAAGGAGCAAGCCACGGCUAACUACGUGCCAGCAGCCGCGGUAAUACGUAGGUGGCAAGCGUUGUCCGGAAUUACUGGGUGUAAAGGGUGCGCAGGCGGAAUGUCAAGUCAGCGGUAAAAUUUCGGGGCUCAACCCCGUCGUGCCGUUGAAACUGGCGUUCUUGAGUGAGCGAGAAGUAUGCGGAAUGCGUGGUGUAGCGGUGAAAUGCAUAGAUAUCACGCAGAACUCCGAUUGCGAAGGCAGCAUACCGGCGCUCAACUGACGCUCAUGCACGAAAGCGUGGGUAUCGAACAGGAUUAGAUACCCGAGUAGUC
rnacentral:rRNA from 1 species